rnacentral:rRNA from 1 species
UACAGGGGGGGCAAGCGUUGUUCGGAAUUACUGGGCGUAAAGGGUCUGUAGGUGGCCAACUAAGUCAGACGUGAAAUCCCUCAGCUUAACUGGGGAACUGCGUCUGAUACUGGAUGGCUUGAGUGUGGGAGAGGAAUGCGGAAUUCCAGGUGUAGCGGUGAAAUGCGUAGAUAUCUGGAGGAACACCGGUGGCGAAGGCGGCAUCCUGGACCGGCACUGACACUGAGGAGCGAAAGCCAGGGGAGCAAACGGG